UACGGGGGGUGCGAGCGUUGUCCGGAUUCACUGGGCGUAAAGGGCGCGUAGGCGGCCGGGUCAGUCGGGCCUGUAAGUGCGGGGCUCAACCCCGUGAUGGGCUCGGGACGGCCGGGCUGGGGCGCGGUCGAGGGAGACGGAAUGCCGGGUGUAGUGGUGAAAUGCGUAGAGAUCCGGCGGAACACCGGUGGUGAAGGCGGUCUCCUAGGCCGAGGGCCGACGCUGAGGCGCGAGAGCGUGGGGAGCGAACCGGAUUAGAUACCCGGGUAGUCCACGCCGUAAACGGUGGAUGCUAGGUGUGGGGGGUAUCGACCCCCCCCGUGCCGGCGCGAACGCAGGAAGCAUCCCGCCUGGGGAGUACGGCCGCAAGGCUAAA
rnacentral:rRNA from 1 species